GAGGGUAUAGCUCAAGAGACAGAGCACAUGCUUAGCAUGCAUGAGGUCCUGGGUUCAAUCCCCAGUACCUUCU
rfam:Camelus ferus unplaced genomic scaffold scaffold142, whole genome shotgun sequence.